AGAGUUUGAUCCUGGCUCAGAACGAACGCUGGCGGCAGGCCUAACACAUGCAAGUCGAGCGCUGUAGCAAUACAGAGCGGCGCACGGGUGAGUAACACGUGGGAACGUGCCCUUUGGUUCGGAAUAACUCAGGGAAACUUGAGCUAAUACCGGAUAAGCCCUAACGGGGAAAGAUUUAUCGCCAUUGGAGCGGCCCGCGUUGGAUUAGCUAGUUGGUGGGGUAAUGGCCUACCAAGGCAACGAUCCAUAGCUGGUUUGAGAGAACGACCAGCCACACUGGGACUGAGACACGGCCCAGACUCCUACGGGAGGCAGCAGUGGGGAAUCUUGGACAAUGGGGGAAACCCUGAUCCAGCCAUGCCGCGUGAGUGAUGAAGGCCCUAGGGUUGUAAAACUCUUUCGGCGGGGACGAUAAUGACGGUACCCGCAGAAGAAGCUCCGGCUAACUUCGUGCCAGCAGCCGCGGUAAUACGAAGGGGGCUAGCGUUGUUCGGAAUUACUGGGCGUAAAGCGCGCGCAGGCGGUCCUUCAAGUCAGGGGUGAAAGCCCAGGGCUCAACCCUGGAAUGGCCUUUGAGACUAGAGGACUUGGGUACGGGAGAGGUGAGUGGAAUUCCGAGUGUAGAGGUGAAAUUCGUAGAUAUUCGGAAGAACACCAGUGGCGAAGGCGGCUCACUGGCCCGUUACCGACGCUCAGGCGCGACAGCGUGGGGAGCAAACAGGAUUAGAUACCCUAGUAGUCC
rnacentral:rRNA from 1 species